CAGUCGCCGCGGUAAUACGGAGGGGGCUAGCGUUGUUCGGAAUUACUGGGCGUAAAGCGCACGUAGGCGGCUUGGUAAGUUAGAGGUGAAAGCCCGGAGCUCAACUCCGGAAUUGCCUUUAAGACUGCCGAGCUAGUAGGUGAGAGAGGUAAGUGGAACUCCGAGUGUAGAGGUGAAAUUCGUAGAUAUUCGGAAGAACACCAGUGGCGAAGGCGGCUUACUGGCUCAUUCUAGACGCUGAGGUGCGAAAGCGUGGGGAGCAAACAGGAUUAGAUACCCCCGUAGUCCCUGUCUCUUAUAC
rnacentral:rRNA from 1 species